AGCCAUUAAGGUAGUACAAAGAAGGGGAGAGGGGGAUUCAAAUAUGUGAUCAUCGUUCACAUCACUUCGAUCUUAAUCACUAGAUCAAGACAUUCUUGGUAACCAAUACUGCGGUAUAGAUGCAUUAUCUCCUUAAUUCCCCUCAAAAAUGGAAAUAUUGAUAAAAAGAUUGAAAAAUAUAGCACUAUAUUUUUUUUACUACUUCAACACAUUACGCACGAACAACCCUCGAGCAUGGCACGUUCUCCCCGUCUCUCUCCACAAUCAUGACAUCUAGGGUUUGCAAAAAUUCAAUUAUUGCUUAGUUAUCGAAAAGAGCAACGAAUGAUCAUCCAGAAAAAGGAAGGAUGAUUGAGGUAGUGUUGAACGACAUAUUGGAGAAGAAACUUUGCGUCAAGUGCAACAUAGAGACACCAACCAAAUAAGGAGAAGAAGACGAAUCAGAUUUCCUUACGUGUUGCUUGGGGAACUAAUUCUCUCUCCUCUCUCGCUCUUCUUUUUGCAGUGCCCCAGUUUCUGAUUUGGAAGGUGAAAGAUAUAUUUCAUGGAGACGAGAACUAUCUUAUUGGUUCUACUCAACCACAAUCUUCUUCUUUAAUUUGAACGUAUGGGUCAUAGCUGAGGUCUCAAAAAUAAGCUCAAGUGAUGUUCACAUUGAUGUCUGUAACUAAAUAUCAGUCUUCACAACAAAACUCCGGGUUGAAAGUCUUGACAAAUUGGCAUAAAUGGACUAGGAAGGUGCAUGCAUAUGUCGAGAUGACAGAAGAUGGAGACGAGGUAUAUGACUAUUAGGUCUAAUGUCAGAUUAUCAUAUGAAUAUGUUGCUUGUUGGAAAGUUCUGAUUUUAUAUAGUACAUAAUUUUUUUCAUUAGUUUAUUUUUGGAAAUAUAGCACUAAUAGGUGUAUGAAACUAAAUUAUUAUUAUUAUAAUAUAAUGUAUAUCAAUUUCAUAUA